AGCAAAUAAAGUUGAAUACAAGUAUAUGUGACAAGCAGAUUAGGUUAGUAUUAAGCACAGAUUUAAAUCACAGAUUUAAUCUAGAAUUCUGCAAAUCAGACUAAAGCUAACUCCCCCAAAAAUUAACAAAGAAACCUUGUAUCUUAGGACUUCAAAAGAAGAGGGGCAUCCCCAAAGACCAGAUAAAAAGCAGGAUCUUCUUUUUUUUUUGUUGGCUCAAAAACUAGAAUGGAUCAAACAAUCACCAAAUAUAUGUACACUUGUAUAAUAAUUAAACAUGAACUUAAAAUUCAUCAACCUAGAAACCUUUCCCUUUGCUGUAUUUCCCACUAGACUUGUAGCACUAAAUUCAAAUGGCAAUCCAGGUUAUUGACUAUUUCUAAACACAUGCAAGUAGGAUUGCUUCAUGAUUCUUCCUCUCUGCCCUUUGAUCAUGGAUUUAAA
rnacentral:misc_RNA from 1 species